rnacentral:lncRNA from 1 species
AUGUAUACAUAUAUAAUUUGGUAUUAAAAAAAAAAAAAAGAAAACAGAAAGAACAGUAAUAACUAGUAUUAACACGGUUUUAUAACAGUAAUAAAAAAGGUAAUAUUGUACGUAAUGAAUAAAAAAAAAAAAGAAAAAUUAAUAAAAUGGGCAAUCUGUCAUUUGUUUCCACGAUUAUUGCAAGUUUUAUUAUGGCCAUUUUGUCACAAUUUUUUUGAGUUUUUUUUUUUUUUUUUUAAUUUUUCAUAUUAACUACUCACUUUAAAAUAUAUUAAAUUGUGUAUUGUUUCGUUCAUUUUGACUAUUUAUGACCAUUCUCAUUAUUUUUUUUUUUAUCAUAGUAAAUAAUGAAAUUUUUGAUUAGUAAAUAAAGUGAAUAUUUUUUUUUUUUUCUUUAAUAACAUUUUAUGAUUUCAAGAAAAUUAUUAACUCAACUAACAAAAAAUGUUCGCAUUCAAUAAAUAAUAGCAAUUUGACAACUACGUUGUUUUUAUUUAUUCAUUUGUUAAUUCGUUCAUUUGUUAAUUCGUUCAUUUGUUCAUUUGUUCAUUUGUUCAUUUGUUCAUUUGUUCAUUNNNNNNNNNNUCAUUUGUUCAUUUGUUCAUUUGUUCAUUUGUUCAUUUGUUCAUUUGCUCGUUUAUUUUGUUUGUUUGUUACAUUUAUUCAAAAUCGGGUAUGUACAAAAUGAACAAAAUAGACUAAGUAGACAUAAUGAGCAAACUUGGAAAUAACACCGACACAAGUGCAGUAAGCUUUCUUACUGUGCAAAGUGUAUUUUUAAUGAUUAUUGCUACAACAGCUUUAAUAUAUUUUUACAAAUUCGUUAAAAAUAAAAAAAAAACUUCACAAUCCAAACACAAUGAUGAACUUGAUAAAAAAAUGAAAAUGUCAAGAGAGAAAAAAUUACAGGAACUAGAAAAGGAAAUGGAAGCUAACAAAGAAAAACUUAAGGAACAAGCUAAAAAGGAUGAUGGAGAGAAAAAAAAUAAAACAUAUUUAUCAAAAGAUAAAUCAGAUUCUAAGAAUAAUACAACCUUUAGCCAUUUUAAAGAUUACUCAAGUAGUUAUAGGCCAUCAGUUAAAGAUAGAUACAAAAGAACUGGUACCUGACGAUAAUUUGGAUGAAUUAAAGGCAUAAAAAAAAAAUAUACAUAACAUACAAAUCUAUUUUUUAUGAAUUAUUAUAAACACAGGACAUACAAAAAGGAAAAGAAAAGAAAAAAAAAAAAAAACUAAAACUUGUUUAGAUAAUAUUUCACUUUUCAUUUAUUAUUACUGAUAAUUUUUAUAAUUUCUACAUAUUUAGGUAUUUUUUUUUUAUGCUUAUUAAUUCAUCCUUUAUAAUAUUUUUACUUCAAGUUGAUGUACUUAAUAAAAAAUAUUAAAAAAAAAAACA